rnacentral:rRNA from 1 species
CCAGACUCCUACGGGAGGCAGCAGUGGGGAAUAUUGCACAAUGGGGGAAACCCUGAUGCAGCGACGCCGCGUGAGUGAAGAAGUAUUUCGGUAUGUAAAGCUCUAUCAGCAGGGAAGAAAAUGACGGCACCUGAUUAAGAAGCCCCGGCUAACUACGUGCCAGCAGCCGCGGUAAUACGUAGGGGGCAAGCGUUAUCCGGAUUCACUGGGUGUAAAGGGAGCGUAGACGGCGACGCAAGUCUGGAGUGAAAGCCCGGGGCCCAACCCCGGGACUGCUCUGGAAACUGUGCGGCUUGAGUGCGGGAGGGGCAGGCGGAAUUCCUAGUGUAGCGGUGAAAUGCGUAGAUAUUAGGAGGAACACCGGCGGCGAAGGCGGCCUGCUGGACCGUAACUGACGUUGAGGCUCGAAAGCGUGGGGAGCAAACAGGAUUAGAUACCCCCGUAGA